GACGUAGGGUCCGAGCGUUGUCCGGAGUUACUGGGCGUAAAGCGCGCGCAGGCGGUCCAGCGCAUCGGUGGUGAAAGCCCCCCGCUUAACGGGGGAGGGUCCAUCGAGAUGGCUGGACUGGAGGCAGGGAGAGGCGAGUGGAAUUCCGGGUGUAGUGGUGAAAUGCGUAGAGAUCCGGAGGAACACCAGCGGCGAAGGCGGCUCGCUGGACCUGACCUGACGCUGAGGCGCGAAGGCGCGGGGAGCGAACGGG
rnacentral:rRNA from 1 species